UAGACUGCACACAGGAGCUUGAAUAAACCUCAGGCAUACAAACCGUUAACAACUGGUCAGAGAACAUUGCUGCAAUCUGGAUUAUGUGCACCUGUGCAAUCAGCCUGGGAAGGGGCUGCAGUUUGGAAACUAGUAUGCACAGCAAACACUGGAGUCAGAGUGAAGCAAGGUUGAGCAGACUCUGGGAUAAUGCAGAAUAUCCUGGCCUGCCAGGCACCAGAGCCCUCCUAUCAGAGGAUCCGACGGACCUCCCGUCGCACCUGCAGUGACACUGUUAACUGUUAGGACCUUCCAAUCGUCUGCAAGCCAAAGAAGAAUUUUUUCUCUUCAUUACUUUGUUUUGAGGAAAACAAACUUGAUCAACAAUGCCUCACCACCAAAGACUAGGAAGACCAUUUUGAUCCUACAUACCAUCAUCUGAUAAACCAUGGAUUCCUCUGUAUCCCUCCAUCUUCUGUUCCGUGACCCUGUCUCCCAAAACCUUGUCCAACAUGACUAAAAAGGAAG